GGUAAUAGGUAGCAAGCACGCGUGAUAUAAACACAGCUUGUCCUCUGAACAGCCGUAUUGGGGAUUACUGUAAACUGUUAGCAGUGUGCACAGUUGGCUAAGGUUAGCUUGUUUUGUUUAGCUAGUCUGACUGGUUUUUACAGAAAUUACCGUUAGCCUCUAAAACCUUACUUGAUCAGCUUUGCCUAUUCAGCAAUCCGACCAGCAAUCCGACCAGUGACCACUUCAAAUACUAACUAUUAGCAAGCUGUCGCAGCUAGCUAAGCUUAUUGUGACAGAAAAUUUAUGGGACUCUUCCAGCAGGAAAAAUGGCAGAUACGAAAUGACGAAUAACCAGCUAAACUGAACAUGGCCGAAGAGCUGACGGGUCAAUCGGGUGGGCUAUAAACACUGUGUUUUGUGCGAGAUUACGCUAGCCAGUCAGGCAAUGUAUGAUGGGGAGAUAGCUAAAGAAAUUAUCUAGCUAAUUUACUAGCCAAAUGUCACGCUCAUCUCUGUGAAGGGUCGAGGUUGUGCUAGUCUACAGCUUUGCGUCCGAAGUCCAUUGACGGGCAGUAUACCUUUUAAAAACCUUUAAAAACCUAUGUUUAUUUUCUAUAUUACAUUACAUUACAUAUAUUUGGCUGACGCUUUUAUCCAAAGCGACGUGCAAUAAGUGCAUAUCAAAGGUCAUUGGAACAACUACAAACACAGGUCCGAUAAGGUACAAAUAAACGUUUUGACCUUAAUUUAUAAAUUAAGAUCAAAAUAUUCAUCGUACAUAGCUUGCUUAACUGUUGAAGCGAGUUUGUUGCUUGACGACGUGAACGGGUUAGGGUAAGCAAUGACGGAUGAUGACUGAUCUAAAGCGUUACAGUGCAGGAUAGAAUCGUGCGCAGUGCACUUCACUGUGUUAUAAAUAAAAAAAUGAAUCUCACGUUAUGAUUUCCGAUACACCCCGCACCAAUGAAAGCGCGGGCGUUGGCUACAUUAUUUCAAGAAUACAAUAAUUUCCUGACGUCGUUUUAAAUUCAUACAAAUUCCUGUUCUAGCUAAACUCGGACAGGGCUGGAUGAACUAGAAUAUUAUUUACUUCAAAACAUACUCCAGAUCAAAGCACUAACAUUUCCCCAUGGAAACUACCGGAAUGUCACCUCAGUACACCUUCAGUAUCCUGUAGAAGAUUAAAUGCAUUCCUGAUACUUGGUGGUUUUUGGCACUGGGCUAAUGGUGUGUGGCCCAUGAUAGUUUUUUCUUCCUUGGGCUCAUAGGGUUGAAUGUGUUGUAGCUCUGUGUACUCAGCAGGUAGUUUGCGGUUGGUUGAGUGAUACAUCUAUAUCACUCUAUAUUGCUAGGCCGAAACACUGCAGAGAGGAAGUAGAGACGGCGCUCAAACGCUUGCCAACAUGUCAGACGCCAUCCUCACUUUCCAAGUCCAGCUCUCUGCUGUCAUGGAAACGGUGCUCAAGUCAGCCAUGUAUGAGAUCACCCGGCUGGUGGAGGACAGCUUCUUAGAGGAAGUGGCUCAGAGCAAACAGGAAGUGGAGGCCCUGAGGCAGCGGCUGCAGUGGUCGGAGAACCGGCGCAGAGAGCGAGAGAGCGGCAGGCGAGCGAGGUGCCUGGACUGCGGCAGAGUCGGAGUUUCCAGCGAGGAGUCAGAGGACCCACCCUCAGGAACACUGUCCGGAGCUGAAGCAGACCCUCCUCCUCCUCUCAGUAAGGGCUGUGCUGAGCCGGAGUGGAGCCCCGCUGUGGGACAGGACACAGCGCCCUCUUCAGGCAGCCUCCUGCCAGAGCGGCAGAGCAGCAGGCCGCGCGGCGGGGAGGCCUGCGGGGCGUACGAGUCGGAGGCGGGACAGGAAGCCGCCGCCCGCAGACUCGGUCUGGCUGGGCCUCAGCGCUGCGGGCCACGCCGCAGUGACCCCGACUCGCAGCGCGUCACCUGGACCACCUUUAAAUUAGGGGACAGCCACGCUGAGGCGGAGGGGCUGGACCCCCCGUACGCUGCAGCGGCAGAGCCAGCCAGUCCGCAGGCUCACAGGGACCCGCAGCCCCGCCCCGCUGAGGAGGGGGCGGGGAACAGCGCCUCCCCUCUGCAGUACCUUAAUGUGAAAUCGGAGGCGCUGCUCAUUAAAGAGGAGGCGGAGGUGCAGCCCGUGUGCAGUGAGGAGCUCAGAUGGGACGUAGCUCACAGGGAGUCCUGGGACAGAGGAGACCUGCAGGUAGAGCACACGGCCCACUCGCCCCCCCCACAGGGCGCAGUGACAUCACUGCAGUGCUUUCCAGAGAAGCUGGAGAGCCUGGCUCUGCACUUCCCUCCCCAGCAGCAGGAGGCAGCAGAAACCAGCUCUGAAGUGGAUCUGAGACAGAUCAGCGCACAGGUGCAUUUAGAGGCUGUAGACAGGAGCAGAGGUGCAUCAUGGGAUUGUGACUCAUUAAUGGUGUCAAAAAAUAUUCAAGGCCGUCAGAGGGGUUUCACGGGGGAUAAAGCAUUCAGUUGUGUUGAGUGUGGGAAGAGUUUCACCCAGUUAAAGAACCUCCAAGCUCACCUGAAAUACCAUGCAGGAGAGAGACCGCACAGAUGCAGCCAGUGUGGGAAAAGCUUCCUCUAUCAGAGUCGGCUUAAGGUUCAUCUGCUGAGCCACACUGGGGAGAGGCCAUUUAGCUGCACUUACUGUGAAAAAAGCUUCCUGUCUCUCUAUGACCUCAAAGUGCAUCAGCGCAACCACACGGGAGAGAAACCGUACCGCUGCUCGCAGUGUGGGAAAGGUUUCACGCGGCUGAGCAUCCUUAAGGAACACGGGAUCAUUCACUCCAAAGAGAAAUCGUUCGGCUGCACGCUGUGUGGGAAGAGGUUCACUCGGCCCAGUAAUCUUAAGGCUCACUUGAGACGCCACGUAGUGGAGAAACAGCACAGCUGCACACUGUGCGGAAAGAGCUUUCUCUAUUUGUGCCGCCUUAAAAAGCACCUUAAAAAAGUCCACUGGACAGACACUACUACUAGCAUGUAGUGUGGUGCAUCAGUUAACAGCCACAAACUUACGAGCAAAAAGAGGAAAAACCAAGUCGACGGACGGGCAGAGAGAGUUCAGUAAUGUGGCCAGAAAGGUACUUACACAGUUCCAG